AUUGAACGCUGGCGGAAUGCUUUACACAUGCAAGUCGAACGGUAGAGGGGGCAACCCCUUGAGAGUGGCGAACGGGUGAGUAAUAUAUCGGAACGUGCCCAGUCGUGGGGAUAACGUAGCGAAAGCUACGCUAAUACCGCAUACGAUCUAUGGAUGAAAGCGGGGGAUCGCAAGACCUCGCGCGAUUGGAGCGGCCGAUAUCAGAUUAGGUAGUUGGUGAGGUAAAGGCUCACCAAGCCGACGAUCUGUAGCUGGUCUGAGAGGACGACCAGCCACACUGGGACUGAGACACGGCCCAGACUCCUACGGGAGGCAGCAGUGGGGAAUUUUGGGACAAUGGGCGCAAGCCUGACCCAGCAAUGCCGCGUGCAGGAUGAAGGCC
rnacentral:rRNA from 1 species